rfam:Capsaspora owczarzaki ATCC 30864 unplaced genomic scaffold supercont2.1, whole genome shotgun sequence.
UCCGCCAUGGUAUAGACGGUUAGCAUGCGGCACUUUCACUGCCGAGACCCGGGUUCGAGUCCCGGUGGCGGAG